rnacentral:rRNA from 1 species
UGCGACUGAGCGAAAGCAUUAAGUGAUCCACCUGGGGAGUACGUCGGCAACGAUGAAACUCAAAGGAAUUGACGGGGGCCCGCACAAGCGGUGGAACAUGUGGUUUAAUUCGAUGAUACGCGAGGAACCUUACCUGGGCUUAAAUGUAGAGCGACUUUCGCCGAAAGGCGAUUUUCCUUCGGGACGAUCUACAAGGUGCUGCAUGGUUGUCGUCAGCUCGUGCCGUGAGGUGUCGGGUUAAGUCCCAUAACGAGCGCAACCCCUAUUGUUAGUUACCAGCGGAUAAUGCCGGGGACUCUAGCGAGACUGCCACCGUAAGGUGAGAGGAAGGUGGGGAUGACGUCAAAUCAGCACGGCCCUUAUGUCCAGGGCUACACACGUGUUACAAUGGUCGGUACAGAGGGCAGCUACCUGGUGACAGGAUGCAAAUCUCACAAAACCGAUCUCAGUUCGGAUCGGAGUCUGCAACUCGACUCCGUGAAGUUGGAAUCGCUAGUAAUCGCGUAUCAGCAACGACGCGGUGAAUACGUUCCCGGGCCUUGUACACACCGCCCGUCAAGCCAUGGAAGCUGGGGGUACCUGAAGUC